rnacentral:tRNA from 1 species
GGAUUGUGGCUCAGUGGUACAGCACUUGCCUAGCAUGUGUGAGGCACUGGGUUUGAUCCUCAGCACCA